AUUGAACGCUGGCGGAAUGCUUUACACAUGCAAGUCGAACGGCAGCACGGGGGCAACCCUGGUGGCGAGUGGCGAACGGGUGAGUAAUACAUCGGAACGUGCCCAGUCGUGGGGGAUAACGUAGCGAAAGCUACGCUAAUACCGCAUACGAACUCAGGUUGAAAGCGGCGGAUCGCAAGACCUGGCGCGAUUGGAGCGUCCGAUGGCAGAUUAAGUAGUUGGUGGGGUAAAGGCCUACCAAGCCGACGAUCUGUAGCUGGUCUGAGAGGACGACCAGCCACACUGGGACUGAGACACGGCCCAGACUCCUACGGGAGGCAGCAGUGGGGAAUUUUGGACAAUGGGCGCAAGCCUGAUCCAGCCAUUCCGCGUGCAGGAUGAAGGCCCUCGGGUUGUAAACUGCUUUUGUACGGAACGAAACGGUCCUGGUUAAUACCCGGGGCUAAUGACGGUACCGUAAGAAUAAGCACCGGCUAACUACGUGCCAGCAGCCGCCGUAAGAC
rnacentral:rRNA from 1 species